ensembl:miRNA mir125b-3 microRNA 125b-3
GUAGACUCUGUCGUACUUCACCUGCUCCCUGAGACCCUAACUUGUGAGCUCUCUUGAUAAAAAAUCACGGGUUAGGCUCUUGGGACGCGGGCGGAGGGCACAAUCGAC